rnacentral:misc_RNA from 1 species
GUGAAGAACGCAGCGAAAUGCGAUAAGUAAUGUGAAUUGCAGAAUUCAGUGAAUCAUCGAAUCUUUGAACGCACCUUGCGCCCUUUGGCCAUUCCGAAGGGCAUGCCUGUUUGAGUAUCAUGAACACCUCAACUCUUUAUGGUUUUCCAUGAUGAGCUUGGACUCUGGGGGUUUUGCUGGCUCACAGUCGGCUCCUCUAAAAUGAAUCAGCUUACCAGUGUUUGGUGGGUAUCAUGGGUGUGAUAACUAUCUACGCUUGUGGUUUUUCCACCAGGUAACCUUCAGCAGUGGAGGUUCGCUGGAGCUCAUAGAUGUCUCUCCUCAGUGAGGACAGCCCUUUGAAUGUUUGAUCUCAAAUCAGGUAGGACUACCCGCUGAACUUAAGCAUAUCAAUAAGCGGAGGA